rnacentral:misc_RNA from 1 species
CAGCACAAACGACUGCGGUGGUGUCGCGCCUGCAUGCGUGUGUGGGGUGCAAGUGCGGAUGCAAGGCGUGUGCAGGGGGGUGCCUACAGGGUUUGCUUUUCUUUGUUUCGCCCUUGCCAUCGCUCUAGCUGGAACUCCCCACCACCACCACCACCACCACCUCGCAACGGCUUCCACACCCCGCCUGCACGACGACCUCCCUCCUUUCACCCGCCACCACCUUCUGUUCUCUCUCUGCCUCUUCCUCCGCUUUGUGCUUCAUCCGUCUUUCCCUGGCUUUCGCUCUCUCUCUCUUGCUAAUGAGGACGCCGCUCGCCGUGUGCUCAUGUUUGAGUGGAGUGGUCCCCGUCACCUCUGUGGGACUUUUUUUGGAGCAUCAACGUCAUCCCUGACUGCCCUUGCCUCCUCCCCUCCCCUCCUCUCCCCCCACCAUCUCUCAUCUCACUCGUUUAUGUGUCGCCGAGAAUGACGCCGGGAGAGGGAAAGGAGGGGUGGUGGUGGUAGUGUCGUGGAGAUACAAAAAAAAAACGAUAGUUUUGCAUCCUUUGAUCGAUGCGCUGUGGACGCAAAACAUACUCAUGGUGGGGCACCACAGCCCCUCUGCUCUCUUCCUCCUUUCUACAUGCUGCGCACGUGACAAGAAGAUUGUGCUGCCGGCACAUGGUAAACCCUUUUUCAAAAGGAGAGAAAGUGGUACACAGAGAGAGAGAGAGAUGCCCACAUGAAAAACAGGAGAUGCUGGCGGAUGCGCGUGGUGGCCGGUGCGAAGUAGCCGAGAACACCCCGUGUGGCCCAUCAUCGCCCCCUUUUCCACCCCUCUCCUCUCUCCUCCCUCCUCCCCCAUCCUCGCUGCGGCAGUUUACCAGUGAGGGGGGAGGGAGGUCUGUGGAAGCGCGACGCAGCCAUGGCGGCAACGUCAGCGCGGGGCGGCGGCGGGUGGUAUUCAAGCAUUGCCCCAAUGCUUUGUUAUUGCUGCCUCUCUUCAUAGUGACAUGCGUCUAAGCGGUUGGCCUUUAUUGUCGCCUGACAAUGCUGCGCAUGAUGCCCGUCUUCUCUGGUGCGUCGUGUGUGCAUUUGUGGGGUAUACCGCCGCGUCCCCUCUCUCUCUCUGACCGCCCUCUCCCCCUCUCUUUCGCCUCGAGCUUUUUUUUUCUGAUCUGGUGCCCUCUUUCUUGCUCAG